rnacentral:rRNA from 1 species
UACGUAGGGUGCAAGCGUUGUCCGGAAUUAUUGGGCGUAAAGAGCUCGUAGGCGGUUCGUCGCGUCGGCUGUGAAAUCCCGAGGCUCAACCUCGGGUCUGCAGUCGAUACGGGCGGACUGGAGUUCGGCAGGGGAGACUGGAAUUCCUGGUGUAGCGGUGAAAUGCGCAGAUAUCAGGAGGAACACCGGUGGCGAAGGCAGCCCCCUGGGAUGUGACUGACGCUCAUGUACGAAAGCGUGGGGAGCAAACAGG